rnacentral:rRNA from 1 species
GACGAACGCUAGGCGGCGGUGCCUAACACAUGCAAGUCGAACGGAGUGUUGCGCGUGAAUUGAUGCUAGCUUGCUAGAGGAUAUUCUUGUAACACUUAGUGGCGGACGGGUGAGUAACGCGUGAGUAACCUGCCUUACAGAGGGGGACAACAGUUGGAAGCGACUGCUAAUACCGCAUGAUGUAUAUUUGGGGCAUCCCAGAUGUACCAAAGGAGCAAUCCGCUGUAAGAUGGACUCGCGUCCGAUUAGGUAGUUGGUGAGGUAACGGCUCACCAAGCCGACGAUCGGUAGCCGGACUGAGAGGUUGAACGGCCACAUUGGGACUGAGACACGGCCCAG